AUUGAACGCUGGCGGCAGGCCUAACACAUGCAAGUCGAGCGGAUGAGGGGAGCUUGCUCCUUGAUUUAGCGGCGGACGGGUGAGUAAUGCCUAGGAAUCUGCCUGGUAGUGGGGGAUAACGUUCCGAAAGGAACGCUAAUACCGCAUACGUCCUACGGGAGAAAGCGGGGGAUCUUCGGACCUCGCGCUAUCAGAUGAGCCUAGGUCGGAUUAGCUAGUUGGUGAGGUAAUGGCUCACCAAGGCGACGAUCCGUAACUGGUCUGAGAGGAUGAUCAGUCACACUGGAACUGAGACACGGUCCAGACUCCUACGGGAGGCAGCAGUGGGGAAUAUUGGACAAUGGGCGAAAGCCUGAUCCAGCCAUGCCGCGUGUGUGAAGAAGGUCUUCGGAUUGUAAAGCACUUUAAGUUGGGAGGAAGGGCUGCUGGUUAAUACCCUGCAGUUUUGACGUUACCAACAGAAUAAGCACCGGCUAACUUCGUG
rnacentral:rRNA from 1 species